rnacentral:rRNA from 1 species
AGAGUUUGAUCCUGGCUCAGGACGAACGCUGGCGGCACGCUUAACACAUGCAAGUCGAACGAGAGAAGAGGAGCUUGCUUUUCUGAUCUAGUGGCGGACGGGUGAGUAACACGUGAGCAAUCUGCCUUUCAGAGGGGGAUACCGAUUGGAAACGAUCGUUAAUACCGCAUAACAUAAUUGAACCGCAUGAUUUGAUUAUCAAAGAUUUAUCGCUGAAAGAUGAGCUCGCGUCUGAUUAGCUAGUUGGUAAGGUAACGGCUUACCAAGGCGACGAUCAGUAGCCGGACUGAGAGGUUGAUCGGCCACAUUGGGACUGAGACACGGCCCAGACUCCUACGGUAGGCAGCAGUGGGGAAUAUUGCACAAUGGAGGAAACUCUGAUGCAGCGAUGCCGCGUGAGGGAAGAAGGUUUUAGGAUUGUAAACCUCUGUCUUCAGGGACGAAAAAAGACGGUACCUGAGGAGGAAGCUCCGGCUAACUACGUGCCAGCAGCCGCGGUAAUACGUAGGGAGCGAGCGUUGUCCGGAAUUACUGGGUGUAAAGGGAGCGUAGGCGGGAUCGCAAGUCAGAUGUGAAAACUAUGGGCUUAACCCAUAAACUGCAUUUGAAACUGUGGUUCUUGAGUGAAGUAGAGGUAAGCGGAAUUCCUAGUGUAGCGGUGAAAUGCGUAGAUAUUAGGAGGAACAUCAGUGGCGAAGGCGGCUUACUGGGCUUUAACUGACGCUGAGGCUCGAAAGCGUGGGGAGCAAACAGGAUUAGAUACCCUGGUAGUCCACGCCGUAAACGAUGAUUACUAGGUGUGGGGGGACUGACCCCUUCCGUGCCGCAGCAAACGCAAUAAGUAAUCCACCUGGGGAGUACGACCGCAAGGUUGAAACUCAAAGGAAUUGACGGGGGCCCGCACAAGCAGUGGAGUAUGUGGAUUAAUUCGAAGCAACGCGAAGAACCUUACCAGGUCUUGACAUCGUAUGCAUAGCUCAGAGAUGAGUGAAAUCUCUUCGGAGACAUAUAGACAGGUGGUGCAUGGUUGUCGUCAGCUCGUGUCGUGAGAUGUUGGGUUAAGUCCCGCAACGAGCGCAACCCUUACUGUUAGUUGCUACGCAAGAGCACUCUAGCAGGACUGCCGUUGACAAAACGGAGGAAGGUGGGGAUGACGUCAAAUCAUCAUGCCCCUUAUGACCUGGGCCUCACACGUACUACAAUGGCUGUCAACAGAGGGAAGCAAAGCCGCGAGGUGGAGCGAACCCCUAAAAGCAGUCUUAGUUCGGAUUGUAGGCUGCAACCCGCCUACAUGAAGUCGGAAUUGCUAGUAAUCGCAGAUCAGCAUGCUGCGGUGAAUACGUUCCCGGGCCUUGUACACACCGCCCGUCACGCCAUGGGAGUCGGUAACACCCGAAGCCUGUAGUCUAACCGCAAGGAGGACGCAGUCGAAGGUGGGAUUGAUGACUGGGGUGAAGUCGUAACAAGGUA